UCUGUAACGGGUGACGAACCCUAACCGAACCCUUCAAUUUCAAGAUUACUCUUCAAUAGAAGGCGAAUUUAAGGAGAGAAAAAAAUCACGAAUCCAUGGCCUUCUCAUAUCCAUCUUUCCGAUUUCUGUUAUCAAUUUCUCAUCAUGAGUAGAUUUUUCGAUUUUUCAUGAGUAGAUUUUUCGAUUUUUAAAAUUUCAGCUUUUCCCCAAAAUAAUUGAGAAUUUCUUCUUUGCAUGAGUAGAUUUUUCGAUUUUUAAAAUUUCAGCUUUGCAUUAUAUGAUUUUUUUACUACUGAGUUGGAAACCUAACGUUGAUGUUGGAGUUUUGGUUCUAUCAAAAAACCCCGUUGUUUUUCUAUUUCUUAAUCUGAUAGUGUUUGCUGCAUAGCUAAUCUUCAGUAAUCCAUAAAUUUUUGCUGGCUUAUCCUGAUAGUGUUCGAUUAAUUGGGUUUGAUGGAAAAUUUUCCCCUGUCAAUAUCACUUAUUUUUGUGUUUUUGAUUUGUUUUUUUUGGUUAAAAAAAUAAUGGACAUUAGCUAUGCAGCGAAAGUAUGUUCUGAACAUGGUAAAAUUGUUUUUUUUCUCACUUCCUGUUGUUUUUGGAUAUGAUUUACCUAAUGUUACUUUUAUAUUGUGAUUAUGCAAGUAUUGAAUGUGUUUUUCGUUGGCAUAGAUUGGUAAAUUGACAUCAAAAUGGCGGCGCAGGUCAAAUGCAACCCACCAAAGGUGGGCUUCUCAGCCAAACAGGAAAACUUCAAGUGCUUGCGAUCAGCGGAAGAAGGAAAGUCAAAUGUUGUCACAGUUCGAGUGACAAGGAAAUGGGAAGAGGUUAUCAUUGACGAGGAGGUGGAGCAAAUCAAAGAUAUUUCCAAGGAAGCUUGAAUUAUUUGAUCCUAGAUGUGAAAGAAGAUGCAGAAGCCUUAUAUAAAGUAGAAUGCAUGACUAUUCAUGGAGCAUCUUAUAAAUUUUUUCCAACUGGAGAGGCUAUAAUUAUUCUAAUGUCAUUGGUGGUGAAUGAUAAAAUGGAGCUAACGCCAUAUCUUUCCAAGAUAUCCAGAGGCAGCUCCGAACUGGGAUCACCUGCCUUUCAACAUCUUUGGAUUCUUCAUGGGAUUGACUGUUAGCCAUGACGCACAACCCGAAACUCCACUAUAUUGUAGGUCACUAACUGUUAUUUUGAAGGUUGGAAGGAUAUAAUUAUAUUUACAAUAACACUUUCAUCAAGGGAGUAAAAUAUAUGGGUGAAGAGAUUCAAAGCUUCAAAGCGACAGGUUGCCUUGGUGAUGGUUGAAAAAGUAAUAGUAAGUUUGAAUUCAACAAAGUGACUGGGACAUCAGAUUCGUGGAGGAAUUCUAUAAGUGACCACAGCGAAGAACAAAUCAGGAAAGUGCUCACUGGGUUCAACCAAUGCGGCACAGCCUCCCCACGAUCGGCAUGCGACGCAGGAAUGUAUUGCAAGUAAUUUCCAAGAGUAGGCAAAUUGAGCGCAGGUAAAUAUCUAGCAUCCCUACACAUAGUAAUAAAUGUAAUAUGAUAUAUUCAUAAAAGUGCAUUUAAACAUACUCAGUCUUAUUUCCAUGUUUAUAUUCAUGUUGUAUACUAAAGUCCUCUUAAGUUAUUGACACGCAGUAAGAACUCAGUUUUACACUGGAAUGUGAAUACCCACUGUAAAGCUCCAUGAAUAUGAGAAAAAAUGUAAGAAAAAUUGUAAAUUUGAGGCUGCUGCUUUUC